UUGGCCUAUGUCAUAUGAAUUGCUAAGUGUUUUGACUCUAAUCCUAGAGAAAAGUAUUCAGUCUAAUUUGGACAGGCGUCUUAGGCUGGUGUGGCCUCUAUAGCAAAAUACCACAGACUGGGUUGUUUAUAAACAGCAGAAAUUUCUAUCUGCAGUUCUGGAAGCUGGAUGUCCAAGAUCAGGGUGCCACCAAGGUUGAAUGGGUCACGGACUUCUCAUUUUAUCCCACGUGGUGGAAUGGGCUGGGGAGCUCUGGGGCAACUUUAUUAAGAAGGCACUUAUCCAUCUGUGAGGGCUGUGCCCCCAACCCCCCAAUACCAUCACCUUGGGAAUUAGGGCUUUAGCACAUGAACUGGGGGGAGGCAGGCAAGAACAUUCAGACCAUAAUGACAGGGCCUAAGAACUCAGCAUUUAACUACUAUUCGGCUCACUUUAAUUUGGCAACAUCUUGGCCUUUAACCUAGAAAUAAUCUUCAGAAAUAAUUUUUCAAUUAUCCUGAUGUAUCAGCCAAGUACAAACGAAGCUCCUCUACAAAGACACCCCCAAAAUACAGUAGCUCAAAUGAGAAAGAAGUUUAAUUCUAUCUUCCACCAAAUCAACAAAAAUGAAGGUGAUCCAGUGUAGAGAGGCGGUUCUGCCACAGGAGAUCUUUAGGAACCAUGUCCCUGCUGCUCCCCAAUUCCCCUGAGUAUUGUCCUCAUCUUAAUUUACACUUUUUUUUUCUUUGUCUUUUGUCUUUUUAGGGCUGCACCUGCAGCACAUGGAGGUUCCCAGGCUAGGGGGUCAAAAUGGAGCUGUAGCUGCCAGCCCAUCCCAGAGCCAUAGCAACGCCAGAUCCAAGUUGUAUCAGCGACCUACACCACAGCUCAUAGCAAAGCUGGAUCCUCAACCCACUGAUCGAGGCCAGGGAUUGAAUCUAUAACCUUAUGGUUCCUAGUCGGAUUCGUUUUCUCUGUGCCACAAUGGGAACGCCUUUUGUUUUUGGGUUUUUUUUGGGUUUUUUGACAGUUUUUUUUUUUUAUGGCUGCACCCACAGCAUAUGGAAGUUCCCAGGCCAGGAAUUGAAUCCGAGCCACUGCUGUGACCCAAGAUGCAGCUGUGGCAACACCAGAUCCUUUAACCUACUGUGCCAGGCCAGGGGCUGAGCCCACGCCUCUGGCAGUUGACUUUGACCUUUACAUAAAAUUCAGUGGGUCUUUUUGAUAUCUGAAGAAAUAAAUUCCCUUAAAUGAUGUGGAAGAGACAGUGUUAAGGGUUUGCCAAAUUCAACAUCAUUUUGUCUCUUUCUGACUGGACAGGAAGGCCACAUAUCUCAACUUCUCUUUCCCUUAGGUUGUGUUCAUAAGACUGGAUUCUGGUGUAUUGGUGGAAGUGAUGUGCUCCACUGGUCAUAAAACUCCUUGGAUGAUUGUCUAAGCUCUUACUUCCCUUACCAUGAAUGCCUGGGAGGCCUCAAGUUUAAGAUGCAAGCAUCAUAGAAUGGAAGGAGACUAGAUCCCUGAGUCAUCUUGUGGAGGAAAUCUACCAAGGAGAGUUGCCCGACAGCGCUGGACUGUGAUGUAAGUGAUUAAUAAAUCUUUAUUGUGUGUACUCCAUGAGAUCUAGGUACCUUACCCUGAUUAACUCAGAUGGUACAGAAAAGGGAUAUUUGUAUGGAAUAUAAGCCUAUAGUGAGUAGAUUUAAAGUUUGAAUGUAUUCAUACCCUAAUUUUUCCUAUUCCAAGAUUACCGAAUUCAUCAUAGAGUUUAGGUAGCUGAGCAGAAUGUUGUAGAGAAAAUAAUGUGAACUGUAGAACUCCACUGAAUUAGAUUCAAAUGCUGUCUCAGACAUUUAUUACCUUGACUUUAAAGUGUUUUCUUUCUGAAAUCCAAUACUUUCUAUCUACUAGCAUUAUUAAGUCAGCUAAAACCUAUUAGGUAACUCUCUUCCAUUCCUAUACCCUUCUAAUAUUCUAAUAUUUCCAAUCCAGUGUUUAAUUUCUGUGGUUCCCCAUUCUACACUCGAUCUUCGCCAAAAGGCUGAGAAGUGAUGGUUCUCCAUUCUAAACUGAUUUUCAUAAAUUUGACUUUAUAGUAGUACCAGACUAAAGGCUGGACAACAAAAGCAACAGUGGAGCCCAGAGAAAGUAGCCAUGUCCUUAAUUUGUGCCCAAAUAAAAGAAAAUCACUACAAAAUUUUAUGUGUUGAAAAUAGUGCUUAGUAGAGAACAAUUUUCCCUUUAUUUAGUACAUUAUUCAGGAAGUUCCCAAGUUAGAGAAAGACUAUGCUGUGCACUAUAGCACAAUUUUGAAAAUACUGUAUUUAAUUAAAAUGGGAAUUUCUGAAAUGAUUGCUAUAGAAUUUGUCUUUCCAAACCUGAAGUAAAAAUUUUGACCCAUGCAAUAUUUAUGAGUUAAUUUUCUUUUUUUCCCCAUCUCAUCUUAACAAUCUGACGAAUAGCCUCCAUUUCAAAUUAUUGAGGGUGGACCAUUGGCAGAAUAUGUACCAGCAAAGACAGAGAUAACUAGUAACAGCCUAAGUUUUCAAUCUGUUUACACACAUACAAAGCCACUUUGUAAACACUGACUUCAAAGGUACACCUGUGAGAGAUGCCUUUGUUACUUGCUGUUUAACAUUUUAAAAAAUUGUUUAGCAUUUAUAGCAUAUAUUUGGUGGCUUUUUAAAUUAAAAAAACAAACACAAGCUGACAUAUAACUUAUUAACACAAACAUGGCACAAUUUUUAUAUUAUACUCCCUCAGAAAAAGAGUUAAUAAUCGAACAGGCAUUACAUUGUGAGUUUACAGAAUUUGAUCCUACAUUGUGCAGCAAUGUCUUUAAAAGAUCAAUAUUGCAGCAAACUAAGCUCUCUGUGGCAUAGCUUCCCUUUUAUAAAAUGAGUGUUUCCUUUCAAUUAUCAGCCAUGUGUCCCUGAAAAUUGUUAGAGUAGCGAGGUACUCUCUUGGGCUUCUUUGCCUCUCUGAUCUUAGGUGAUGAUUUCUUCUUUUCUUUUUGGUCUCUUCUCUCCAUCCCAACUUCUAAUUUCUCUCAAAUCUCUAUCCCAAGACCUCUACUUCCUCACCAUCGCUCCCAUAACAUGGAAUUGCAUUUUUGCAUAGAGUUUGAUUCUAAAGUCAGUGAGUGGAUCUCCCGUUGUGGCUCAGUAGGCUAAGAACCCAACAUAGUGUCUGCGAGGAUUUGGGUUCAAUCCCUGACCUCCCUCAGUGAGUUAAGGACCUGGUGUUGCCCCAAGCUGUGGUGUAGGUUGCAGAUGUAGCUUGGAUCUGCUGUAGCUGUGGCUGUGGUGUAGGCCUCAGCUGCAGCUCUGAUUCGACCCCUGGCCUGGGAACUUCCAUAUGCUGCAGGUGCAGCCAUAAAAAGAAAAAUAAAAAAAUAGAAAACAAAAAAAAAAAUCUCUUCAUUCCCCUGGAAAGUACAAUAUACAUGGCCCUUUUUAUGCACACUUGAGGCUGCUACAGCAUCCAACUCAGCCAGUUUUUCCUCCAGCGUUGGAACAGAUUGCUGUUUUCUCAGUGAAACACCUGAUGAAGUAGUUGGCUUGCAUUUAGGGGCCAUGUUGUAUCAAAAAAAUGUAUCUUUAAACACUUGAAUCACACUCAGUAUGGUGAGAUGCUCAUACUAUGAGAGCGAUUCAGGAACUGAGACAAACUGAAGGAACAUCAGAUUCACAUCUCCCGCCCUGCGCUCCUUUAGGGCAUAUGCUCCAGUGGAACGUGGGACAGAAUCACCCACACUGUUUACAUUCUUCUCUUUCUCUCUUUCUCUUUCUGGCAGAGUAAGUCGAGUUGAGUAUGGAGGAGAACUUUCUUCUAUAUGUAUUAGGGAAAAAUUCUAUUCAAAACCACAACUUUUUCUGAGAAGGGCAGCUUGUGGUAAAGGAAAUUUCAGGGUCUCUGUGGCUCUUGAGUGUCAUAAUGAGAAUCAGUGCCCCCAUCAGUUUAAUAGAGGGAACUGCCUUGUAGCUUGUGGUCAUACAAAGAUCAGGGAGCCUUGGAGUCUGGGAUGUGCAGGUUGGAGAGGGCGGACUUGCUCUGGGCAGUGGUUUUACAACCUUGGCUCUAUUGACAUUUCGGAUGGGACAGGUCUCUGUUGGAUGGUGGUUGGGGUUGGGAGGGGGGCUUUUCCGUGCCAUGUAGGAUGUUUAGCAGCAUCUCCGUCCUCAGCUCAUGAGGUGCCACUAGUAACCCCCAUCCCAAAGUUGGGAAAACCAGAAACAUCUCCAGACAUUGCCAAACCAGCCUUCAGGAAGCAAAAUCACUCUUGAUUGAAAAACUUGAUAUAAUAGAGUAGAAAGAGUUUGAGAUCUUGGGGGAAGUUUUUCAGUGGAACAAGUGAAAAGGAGACAUGGGGUCAGGGAGAAGCAAUUUUCUAGAUAGUGCAAGGCUGGACACUACAUAAGGUAAAAAGGCCUCUGAAAAACUCUUAAUCGUGGGAUGGCUUUUCUUAUUUUUUUCUUAUUAUUUUAUUUUUUACAGCCACACUUGUGGCAUCUGGAAGUCCCUGGGCUAGGGAUCCAAAAAGAACUGUAGCUGUUGGCCUAUACCCCAGCCAUAGUAACACUGGCUGGUCCCAAGCUUCAUCUUCAAACUUCACCACAGCUUAUGACCAUGCCGGCCCCUUAACCCACUGAGUGAGGCCAGGGAUUGAACCAACAUUUUUAUAGAGACAACACCGUGUUUUUAACCCACCGAGCCACAAAUGGAACUCCAUGGGACAGCUUUUUAAAAACAGAUAAAUGCAGUUCCCAUGGUGGCUCAGUGGUUAACGAACCCAACUAGUAACUAUGAGGUGGUGGGUUCAAUCCCUGGCCUUGCUCAGUGGGUUAAGGAUCCAGUGUUGCCGUGAGCUGUGGUGUAGGUCACAGACGUGACUUGGAUCCUGUGUUGUUGUGGCUGUGAUGUAGGCCAGGAGCUAUAGCUCUGACUGGACCCCUAGCCUGGGAACCUCCAUAUGCCACAGGUGUGGCCCU
rnacentral:lncRNA from 1 species